UACGUAGGGUGCGAGCGUUAAUCGGAAUUACUGGGCGUAAAGCGUGCGCAGGCGGUUUUGUAAGUCUGUCGUGAAAUCCCCGGGCUCAACCUGGGAAUUGCGAUGGAGACUGCAAGGCUAGAAUCUGGCAGAGGGGGGUAGAAUUCCACGUGUAGCAGUGAAAUGCGUAGAGAUGUGGAGGAACACCGAUGGCGAAGGCAGCCCCCUGGGUCAAGAUUGACGCUCAUGCACGAA
rnacentral:rRNA from 1 species